UCCCUGGUGGUCCUGGCUAAGACUCUGCACUCCCAAUGCAGGGGGCCUGGGUUCAAUCCCUGGUCAGGGAA
rnacentral:tRNA from 1 species